UACGUAGGGGGCAAGCGUUAUCCGGAAUUACUGGGUGUAAAGGGAGCGUAGACGGUGAUGCAAGUCUGGAGUGAAAGGCGGGGGCCCAACCCCCGGACUGCUCUGGAAACUGUGUAACUUGAGUGCAGGAGAGGUAAGCGGAAUUCCUAGUGUAGCGGUGAAAUGCGUAGAUAUAACUUAGAACACCGAUAGCGAAGGCAGCUUACCAGACUGAGUCUGACGCUGAUGCACGAGAGCAUGGGUAGCGAACAGG
rnacentral:rRNA from 1 species